rnacentral:lncRNA from 1 species
CCGAGAUCUUGGCGGAGAUAGCGCCGUUUCUCCGCAGCCAGCUGUUUAAUCGGCAGCGCCAUCUCCCUUCCCGGAGACCCGCGUGCGCGCGCCCGCAGCGCACCGCCCCGGCCCUCCGGCCCCGCCUUCCCCGCGGCUGGGAAGAAAGGCGCAGGACUUUCCCACGCUCCCGGGUUCACGGUAAUCAGGCCGCCGCGGCCCCGCCCCACGCCGGCAGGCCCCGCCCCCGCCUCGGAGGGGGCCCGUUUCGCCGAGGCGGAGGGAGGGACGGGGGUUCGCCCCGGCCCCCGCCUCACGGGCCCCCUCGGAAGGCCGCAGCUCCGGGGGAGAGGCUCCCCCCCCCGGGGCACAAAGCGACAGCCCCGGUCUCUGCGCGCCCAGGGAUGCCCUGGAUCUUUGUGCCCUGUGAACAGAGGACGUGCAGGUGGGAAGCAAACCUGACAGUCUAACUAGGUUGUUUCUUUGGGGUGGAGAAAACAGGUGAGUUACCAGGUCUCUUUCGAACAAGGGUGGUUUAUUUGUUGUUUCAUGAGCCCCCUGUAGUUUAUUGUAGUUGUGAGGGUGGGUGUCCCAACAGGGAGCCCUCCAGAGAGGAGGGGCAUCUGGGAGAGCUGCGUGGUCUUGAGAGCUACAUGGUCAAGGAGGGCAGGUGCUUCAGCAGAAUCCCAAGAUUUCUUUUCACCCUUUUUAAAACAGUUAACAGAAGCAGCAGAAAUCCAGCCAGGCAAGCAUUUCUGAGCAGAAAGUCAAGGGAAGGCAGCCAUCCCUGUUGAAUUUCUGCCUCACAAGCUUGUUUUAAAAGUGCAGGAGCCGUUUUGAAGGGGUGGGGAAGGGAUGCCAUGUCAUCAAACGCUUCUUGGCUUCUCUUAAUGGGAGUUGGGGGCUGAUGUGCGGCCAAGGAGGGGGAAGAACGGGGAAAUCGGGGCUGGGGAGCUCCGGAAGGAAGACGUUGUGCAGCUCCUGAGCCAAAAGGCCAGCCGCUUUCUCUGUCCCACCCCGCCGGUGCGGAAGGCUGAGUCUGCCCAGGUGGGGAGCAGCAAUUCGCCCUUCUCUCCUCUCGAUCCGGGCGAUGUCGGCUACAGGAGGAGCAGCCCUCACAGGCAAAGACGGGCAGGGCAAUCCCUCAGUGCUCUCCCGGGGCACGGGAGUCCCGAUCGCACGGCUGCCGCAAUGCAAGAAGGGGCUGCGCUCGGGCGACCCCGGGAAGCUGCAGCCACCGCUGCAGUCCCCCCCCCCAGCCCCC